rnacentral:rRNA from 1 species
AUUGAACGCUGGCGGCAGGCCUAACACAUGCAAGUCGAGCGGUAACAUUUCUAGCUUGCUAGAAGAUGACGAGCGGCGGACGGGUGAGUAACGCGUAGAAAUCUACCUAGUAGUGGGGGAUAGCCCAGAGAAAUUUGGAUUAAUACCGCAUACGCUCUACGGGGGAAAGCGGGGGAUCUUCGGACCUCGUGCUAUUAGAUGAGUCUGCGUCGGAUUAGCUUGUUGGUGAGGUAAUGGCUCACCAAGGCGACGAUCCGUAGCUGGUCUGAGAGGAUGACCAGCCACACUGGAACUGAGACACGGUCCAGACUCCUACGGGAGGCAGCAGUGGGGAAUAUUGCACAAUGGGCGCAAGCCUGAUGCAGCCAUGCCGCGUGUGUGAAGAAGGCCCUAGGGUUGUAAAUCCCUUUCAGCGGGGAAGAUAAUGACGGUACCCGCAGAAGAAGCCCCGGCUAACUCCGUG